rnacentral:rRNA from 1 species
CAGUCGCCGCGGGAAUACGGAGGGUGCAAGCGUUAAUCGGAAUUACUGGGCGUAAAGCGCACGCAGGCGGUUUGUUAAGUCAGAUGUGAAAUCCCCGAGCUUAACUUGGGAACUGCAUUUGAAACUGGCAAGCUAGAGUCUUGUAGAGGGGGGUAGAAUUCCAGGUGUAGCGGUGAAAUGCGUAGAGAUCUGGAGGAAUACCGGUGGCGAAGGCGGCCCCCUGGACAAAGACUGACGCUCAGGUGCGAAAGCGUGGGGUGCAAACAGGAUUAGAUACCCGCGUAGUCCCUGUCUCUUAUAC